GCCUCGGUAGCUCAGUCGGUAGAGCAGAGGACUGAAAAUCCUCGUGUCGGCGGUUCGAUUCCGCCCUGAGGCACCA
rnacentral:tRNA from 13 species